rnacentral:rRNA from 1 species
GGACCCGCACAAGCAGUGGAGCAUGUGGUUUAAUUCGAAGAUACGCGCAGAACCUUACCAACACUUGACAUGUUCGUCGCGAGACCAAGAGAUUGGUUUCUUCAUUCAGUUGGACGAAACACAGGUGCUGCAUGGCUGUCGUCAGCUCGUGUCGUGAGAUGUUGGGUUAAGUCCCGCAACGAGCGCAACCCCCUACUUUUAGUUGCCACCAUUUAGUUGGGCACUUUAAAAGAACUGCCAGUGAUAAGCUGGAGGAAGGUGGGGAUGACGUCAAGUCCUCAUGGCCCUUACGUGUUGGGCUACACACGUGCUACAAUGAUACUUACAAUGGGAUGCAAAGAGGUGACUCCAAGCUAAUCCCAAAAAUGUAUCUCAGUUCGGAUUGUACUCUGUAACUCGAGUACAUGAAGCUGGAAUUGCUAGUAAUCGC